AUUGAACGCUGGCGGCAGGCCUAACACAUGCAAGUCGAGCGGGGUUUUCGGACCUAGCGGCGGACGGGUGAGUAAUGCGUAGGAAGCUGCCCGAUAGGGGGGGAUACCAGUUGGAAACGACUGUUAAUACCGCAUAAUGUCUACGGACCAAAGUGUGGGACCUUCGGGCCACAUGCUAUCGGAUGCGCCUACGUGGGAUUAGCGAGUUGGUGAGGUAAUGGCCCACAAAGGGGACGAUCUCUCGCCGGUUUGAGGGGAUAAUAGGCGACACUGGAACUGAGACACGGUCCAGACUCCUACGGGAGGCAGCAGUGGGGAAUAUUGGACAAUGGGCGCAAGCCUGAUCCAGCCAUGCCGCGUGUGUGAAGAAGGCCUUCGGGUUGUAAAGCACUUUCAGCGAGGAGGAAGGGUGGUGUGUUAAUAGCACAUCAUUUUGACGUUACUCGCAGAAGAAGCACCGGCUAACUCUGUGCCAGCAGCCGCCGUAAUAC
rnacentral:rRNA from 1 species